CCUAACGGCUGAACCAGCAACUUGGAGGAAUGUAUAGCUACGGCUAAUUGUGUAUAACUGCACGAUAUCGACUCUGUCGAAUAAAAUUCUGGGUAAAUUAUGAUGAUGACAUUUUUUACCUAUGUGUCUUGACCAAAUUGUGUGCCAGCAGUCGCGGUAAUACAUAGAAGACUAGUGUUAUUCAUCUUUAAUAGGUUUAAAGGGUACCUAGACGGUAGAUCAAGCCCUAGACGGGACUAAUUUGCUAGAGUUACUUAUGAGGGGGCUUUAAAGUACUAAUGGUGUAGAGAUAAAAUUUUGUAAUACCAUUUUUCGUAAAGAAAAAUUAUGGCACUGGUAAAGGUGAAAGCAUCCCCCUAUGUGAUAACUGACGUUGAAGGACGAAGGCUUUGGGUCGCGAAUAGGAUUAGAUACCCUAGUAGUCAAAGCAGAAAAUUAUGAGUGUCAUAGAUUAGAUAAUACAGUUUAUUCUAUAAAUGAAAGUGUAAGCACUCCACCUCAAGAGUAAUUUGGCAACAUGGGAACUGAAAUCAUUAGACCGUUUCUGAAACCAGUAGUGAAGUAUGUUGUUUAAUUCGAUGAUCCGCGAAAAACCUUACCACAAUUUGAAUAUGUAUAUUUUUGAUAUAUUUACAAGCGUUGCACGGCUGUCUUCAGUUAAUGUCGUGAGACUUUGGUUAGAUCCAUUAAAUUAACGUAAGCCCUUACUUUAUUUUUAUAUAAAGUAGUUCUCCACCAUAUUGGACAAGAUAACAGGGACUAAGACAAGUCAUCAUGGCCUGAAUAUUGUGGGCUAUAGACGUGCCACAUAAACCUUUACAAAGGGAUGUGAAAUUGC
rnacentral:rRNA from 1 species